UACGUAGGGUGCAAGCGUUGUCCGGAAUUAUUGGGCGUAAAGAGCUCGUAGGCGGUUUGUCGCGUCCGCUGUGAAAACUCAGGGCUUAACCCUGAGCCUGCAGUGGGUACGGGCAGACUAGAGUGUGGUAGGGGAGAUCGGAAUUCCUGGUGUAGCGGUGGAAUGCGCAGAUAUCAGGAGGAACACCGGUGGCGAAGGGCGGAUCUCCGUGGGCCAUAACUGACGCUGAGGAGCGAAAGCAUGGGGAGCGAACAGG
rnacentral:rRNA from 1 species